rnacentral:rRNA from 1 species
AAAUUGAAGAGUUUGAUCAUGGCUCAGAUUGAACGCUGGCGGCAGGCCUAACACAUGCAAGUCGAACGGUAACAGGAAGCAGCUUGCUGCUUUGCUGACGAGUGGCGGACGGGUGAGUAAUGUCUGGGAAACUGCCUGAUGGAGGGGGAUAACUACUGGAAACGGUGGCUAAUACCGCAUAAUGUCGCAAGACCAAAGAGGGGGACCUUCGGGCCUCUUGCCAUCA